rnacentral:rRNA from 1 species
UACGUAGGGUGCGAGCGUUAAUCGGAAUUACUGGGCGUAAAGCGUGCGCAGGCGGUUUUGUAAGCCAGAUGUGAAAGCCCCGGGCUUAACCUGGGAAUGGCAUUUGGGACUGCAAGGCUGGAGUGUGGCAGAGGAGACUGGAAUUCCUGGUGUAGCAGUGAAAUGCGUAGAUAUCAGGAGGAAUACCGAUGGCGAAGGCAGGUCUCUGGGCUGACACUGCAGCAGCAG